GGGUUGUGAGGUUAAGCGACUAAGCGUACACGGUGGAUGCCCUGGCAGUCAGAGGCGAUGAAGGACGUGCUAAUCUGCGAAAAGCGUCGGUAAGGUGAUAUGAACCGUUAUAACCGGCGAUGUCCGAAUGGGGAAACCCAGUGCAAUUCGUUGCACUAUCGUUAACUGAAUACAUAGGUUAACGAGGCGAACCGGGGGAACUGAAACAUCUAAGUACCCCGAGGAAAAGAAAUCAACCGAGAUUCCCCCAGUAGCGGCGAGCGAACGGGGAGCAGCCCAGAGUCUGAAUCAGCUUGUGUGUUAGUGGAACGGUCUGGAAAGUCCGACGGUACAGGGUGAUAGUCCCGUACACCAAAAUGCACAGGCUGUGAACUCGAAGAGUAGGGCGGGACACGUGGUAUCCUGUCUGAAUAUGGGGGGACCAUCCUCCAAGGCUAAAUACUCCUGACUGACCGAUAGUGAACCAGUACCGUGAGGGAAAGGCGAAAAGAACCCCGGCGAGGGGAGUGAAAAAGAACCUGAAACCGUGUACGUACAAGCAGUGGGAGCACCUUCGGGUGUGACUGCGUACCUUUUGUAUAAUGGGUCAGCGACUUAUAUUCUGUAGCAAGGUUAACCGUAUAGGGGAGCCGCAGGGAAACCGAGUCUUAACUGGGCGUUAAGUUGCAGGGUAUAGACCCGAAACCCGGUGAUCUAGCCAUGGGCAGGUUGAAGGUUGGGUAACACUAACUGGAGGACCGAACCGACUAAUGUUGAAAAAUUAGCGGAUGACUUGUGGCUGGGGGUGAAAGGCCAAUCAAACCGGGAGAUAGCUGGUUCUCCCCGAAAGCUAUUUAGGUAGCGCCUCGUGAACUCAUCUUCGGGGGUAGAGCACUGUUUCGGCUAGGGGGUCAUCCCGACUUACCAACCCGAUGCAAACUACGAAUACCGAAGAAUGUUAUCACGGGAGACACACGGCGGGUGCUAACGUCCGUCGUGAAGAGGGAAACAACCCAGACCGCCAGCUAAGGUCCCAAAGUCAUGGUUAAGUGGGAAACGAUGUGGGAAGGCACAGACAGCCAGGAUGUUGGCUUAGAAGCAGCCAUCAUUUAAAGAAAGCGUAAUAGCUCACUGGUCGAGUCGGCCUGCGCGGAAGAUGUAACGGGGCUAAACCAUGCACCGAAGCUGCGGCAGCGACAC
rnacentral:rRNA from 1 species